rnacentral:rRNA from 1 species
UACGUAGGUGGCAAGCGUUGUCCGGAUUUACUGGGCGUAAAGGAUGCGUAGGCGGACAUUUAAGUCAGAUGUGAAAUACCCGGGCUUAACUUGGGUGCUGCAUUUGAAACUGGGUGUCUAGAGUGCAGGAGAGGUAAGUGGAAUUCCUAGUGUAGCGGUGAAAUGCGUAGAGAUUAGGAAGAACACCAGUGGCGAAGGCGACUUACUGGACUGUAACUGACGCUGAGGCAUGAAAGCGUGGGGAGCAAACAGG